rnacentral:rRNA from 1 species
GAUGAACGCUGGCGGCGUGCCUAAUACAUGCAAGUCGAGCGAACAGACGAGGAGCUUGCUCCUCUGACGUUAGCGGCGGACGGGUGAGUAACACGUGGAUAACCUACCUAUAAGACUGGGAUAACUUCGGGAAACCGGAGCUAAUACCGGAUAAUAUAUUGAACCGCAUGGUUCAAUAGUGAAAGACGGUUUUGCUGUCACUUAUAGAUGGAUCCGCGCCGCAUUAGCUAGUUGGUAAGGUAACGGCUUACCAAGGCAACGAUGCGUAGCCGACCUGAGAGGGGGAACGGCCCAAACGGAAAUGGAAAAAGGGUCAGGACCCCAAGGGGGGCAGGAGGAGGGAAUCUUCCGAAAAGGGGGAAAACCUGAAGGGGCAACCGCCGGGGGGGGAAGAAGGGUUUCGGAUUGUAAAACUUUUUUAUUAGGGAAAAAAAAAUGGGAAAGUAAAUAAGCACGGCUUGACGGGACCUAAACAGAAAGCCACGGCUAAAUAAGU